rnacentral:rRNA from 1 species
GGCAGACGGGUGAGAAACGCGUGGGAACGUACCCUAAAGUUCGGAAUAACUAUUGGAAACGAUAGCUAAUACCGGAUGUGACCGAGAGGUUAAAGGUUUACCGCUUUGGGAGCGGCCCGCGUUAGAUUAGCUAGUUGGUGGGGUAAAGGCCUACCAAGGCGAUGAUCUAUAGCUGGUCUGAGAGGAUGACCAGCCACACUGGGACUGAGACACGGCCCAGACUCC